UCCUAAAAGAAGAGGGAAGAGAAAUCACAUAAUCACAGAGACUAUCAGCUGGGACUAGUCCUUAGCCCCAAACAGACUCAGGACACCAGAAGGAGAGAUUCAGAAAUACAAAAGGAGCCAACCAAACCUCAAGAAUGCCUGGGGUUACUGAUGCUGGCUCUAAGGAGGAAGCUUUGAUGGACUUACCUCCAGGCUUAUUAUGGCCAUUUUCUCCACUUCUUCCCCUCAAUUCAGGAUUUGAUCUCUCUACUGAUUUACUCCCUGAUGUAGGUCCAUCUUCAUUAUCUACACCCACCACACCAACCACCCUUGACAGGGUUAGGGUUCUGUCAUUAGUUGUGUCACAGAACACCACUUUCAGAACCCUGAAGUGGGAAAUUCCACUUGAAUAACCUUGUCUCUGUUUCCCGUUUCCUCACCCACCUCAAAUAUGCAUUUCACUCCUAUAUGAAUCUUUCAAGAAAACUUCGAUAAAAUAAGAUUAAAAAAAAAUAAAAGAAGAUGGAUUAAAAUAUCAGAAUGGCAGUUUCCUUCCUGGCCAGGUCAAUACUACCAUUACUUCUGGAAAGGGCAAUACUCCCACAAGGCUCCCCUUAUCAACUCCAUGACUUCCCAGAUUGAAACACCUUGUUCACCUCACUUCUUCUGGGGUGUUGGAGGAGAGAGGAACUUAUUCAGCCCAGUCUGGAGUGGCAUGCUCUUCUUGGUUCAGCCCGAAGACACAGGCUUCUGAAGAGGCUUGAGAUUUUAGAAUAAUACAACACUCAAUAUCCCAAGGAAGCAACAAAAGGAUCGAUCCAGACCCAGCCCUAACAUCAAGUUUGAAUUCAGGAAUUAGGAUGGAAGAACGGGCAAACAAGAAAAGGAUCCACUAUUAUGAGCUAUUAAGAGUGGCAGGGAUACUCAAGACACAAAUGCAGAAGAAGAGAAUGACUCUUAAACACCCACAAAUAAAGCCUCAUUAGAAAAUGCAGCUUGGAUGCAACCUCAAUUAGAAUUUCUAAAAGAGAUGAAGCAAGAGUGCAGGAAAAGAAAAAAAAAGUUUAAAAUGUUUUUUAUAAAUGGAAUGAGUUUAUAGAAAUAAUUGGAAAAGGGGGGCAGCUGGGUGGUUCAGUGGCUUAAAAACCAGGCUUAGAGACGGAUAUCCUGGGUUCAAAUCUGUUCUCAGACACUUCCCAGCUGUGUGACCCUAGGCAAGUCACUUAACCCCCACUGCCUAGCCCUUACUGCUCUUCUACACAGUAUUGAUUCUAAGACGGAAGGUAAAGGUUAAAAAAAAAACAAUUGGAAAAGAAAUGAAAGGGGAUAUUUAGGUGGCUCAGUAAACUACGGCUAGAGGUCCCGGGUUCAAAUUUGACCUUGGAUAAGCCUUAGCUGCUUGACUCUGAGGGCAAGUCACUUAGCCCCCAUUGCCUAGCCCUUACCAUUCUUCUGUCUUAGAAUUUAUACUAAGGACAGAAGGUAAAGGCUUUAAAAAAAAAUGAAAGUUUUGGUAAAAAAAAAAAUAGAAAGGAAACUAAAAGUUUAGCCCAAGAAUUAUAAAACCUUUACCCAAGCAACAAAUUUCCUGAAAAUUCAAAUGGACCAAAUAGAAACCAAGAAUAUCAAUAAUGAUAAUGAGAAAUAUUAAAAGAAAGUCAAAAGGCUGAAUAAAUGGAAGAAAAAUAUAACAUAUCCCAGCAAAAAUGACUGGCCUGGAAAACAGACUAAGGAGAAAAAAAUUUAAGAAUCAUUGGACUAUCUGAACCCCAUGACCAAUAAGAGAGGCUCGAAAAUAAAUCUUAAAAGAGAACUGCCCAGAUUGCUUAGAAACAGAGGGCAAACAAUCCAAUGUAAUGGACUUUGCUACUAAUAGCAAUGCAACAAGCCAGGAUACUCCUAAAGGACUUAUAUGAAAGAACGUUAUCCACAUUAAGAGUGUGUAAUUUGAAUCUGUUACCCUAAAAACUAUGAUCUCCAGCAAAACUAUGAUUCCCAACACCCUACUCUCUUCCUGUUGUCAUGUGCUGAUGUAGACAGGAGAUAAAUUUGAUGGACUCCGGUCUCUCAGCUUCUUUUUCCUUCCUGUGGUGGCUUUAGUGGAAUGGGCUUUUUUCAGCAAACUAAGCAAACUUAGUCAUGUGGUUCUAUUUUGUCAGAUAAUAAAAUUUAAAAAUAUUACUUGAAGUAUUAGACAUUAACUUAAAUCCUACAAAAGAAAGAACUAUGGGAGUAGAAACACAAAAACAAAACAUAUGACAUCACUUAUCGCAUGUAUAUAUAGGGUAUGUGAUUUGGGGUUUAGGCUUUUGAAAAUCCCUCACUAGCAAAAAUGAAUAAUAUGGAAAUAGGUAUCAAGUGAUAACAUUUUUACAACCCAGUGGAAUUGCUUAUCAGCUCUGAG